rnacentral:rRNA from 1 species
UGGGGAAUAUUGGACAAUGGGCGAAAGCCUGAUCCAGCCAUGCCGCGUGUGUGAAGAAGGUCUUCGGAUUGUAAAGCACUUUAAGUUGGGAGGAAGGGCAUUAACCUAAUACGUUAGUGUUUUGACGUUACCGACAGAAUAAGCACCGGCUAACUCUGUGCCAGCAGCCGCGGUAAUACAGAGGGUGCAAGCGUUAAUCGGAAUUACUGGGCGUAAAGCGCGCGUAGGUGGUUUGUUAAGUUGGAUGUGAAAUCCCCGGGCUCAACCUGGGAACUGCAUUCAAAACUGACUGACUAGAGUAUGGUAGAGGGUUGUGGAAUUUCCUGUGUAGCGGUGAAAUGCGUAGAUAUAGGAAGGAACACCAGUGGCGAAGGCGACCACCUGGACUAAUACUGACACUGAGGUGCGAAAGCGUGGGGAGCAAACA